AUAUCAGUAAGCGGAGGAAAAGAAACUAACAAGGAUUCCCGUAGUAACGGCGAGUGAACUGGGAAAAGUCCAGCGCUAAAUCGUGGUGCUCUCACGGGUGCCAUGAAGUGUAGCGUAUAGGCGGGGUAUGCUCAGCAUUAUUGGAUGGUUUAAAUCUCCCUUGACUGGGGUUCCACAGAAGGUGCAAGACCUGUUCAACCGUCCGGUGGUGUUGAUUGUGCUGUCUUGGAGUCGGGUUGUUUGGGAACGCAGCCCAAAGUAGGUCGUAAACUUGAUCUAAGGCUACAUACAGCUACGAGACCGAUAGCGCACAAGUA
rnacentral:rRNA from 1 species